UCCGGUUUGUCACCGGCAGUCUCCUAUGAGUCCCCAACUUAAUGCUGGCAACGUAGGACGGGGGUUGCGCUCGUUGCGGGACUUAACCCAACAUCUCACGACACGAGCUGACGACAGCCAUGCACCACCUGUACACCGACCACAAGGGGGCCCCUGUCUCCAGGGGUUUCCGGUGUAUGUCAAGCCUUGGUAAGGUUCUUCGCGUUGCGUCGAAUUAAGCCACAUGCUCCGCCGCUUGUGCGGGCCCCCGUCAAUUCCUUUGAGUUUCAGCCUUGCGGCCGUACUCCCCAGGCGGGGCACUUAUCGCGUUAGCUGCGGCACCGAAGGGGUCGCUCCCCCCACACCUAGCACCCAUCGUUUACGGCGUGGACUAC
rnacentral:misc_RNA from 1 species